GACGAACAAUUCGCUUUAGCAGCUUAAUAACCUGCCUUAAAGCCUUAUCGCCUCAGCUUCCGCUCGUAAGACGAGGAUAACGAUAAGUCACCCAAAACGAGAUCGUGUUGAAGCCACCGUUUGAGGAUCGAAGCACUAAAUUAAAUCAAACUAGUUUACUCUUUGCGUGUCUGUCCGCUGGGGGUAAGCGAAAUUAAAGACCAGACUAAACGUGUAGUGCUAAAGGUAGAGUAAUUUCGGACGGGGGUUCAAAUCCCCCCAGCUCCACCA
rnacentral:tmRNA from 1 species